rnacentral:rRNA from 1 species
UGGGGAAUAUUGGACAAUGGGCGCAAGCCUGAUCCAGCAAUGCCGCGUGAGUGAUGAAGGCCUUAGGGUUGUAAAGCUCUUUCGCACGCGACGAUGAUGACGGUAGCGUGAGAAGAAGCCCCGGCUAACUUCGUGCCAGCAGCCGCGGUAAUACGAAGGGGGCUAGCGUUGUUCGGAAUUACUGGGCGUAAAGGGCGCGUAGGCGGCCUGUUUAGUCAGAAGUGAAAGCCCCGGGCUCAACCUGGGAAUAGCUUUUGAUACUGGCAGGCUUGAGUUCCGGAGAGGAUGGUGGAAUUCCCAGUGUAGAGGUGAAAUUCGUAGAUAUUGGGAAGAACACCGGUGGCGAAGGCGGCCAUCUGGACGGACACUGACGCUGAGGCGCGAAAGCGUGGGGAGCAAACAGGAUUAGAUACCCUGGUAGUCCACGCCCGUAAACGAUGAAUGCUAGACGUCGGGGUGCAUGCACUUCGGUGUCGCCGCUAACGCAUUAAGCAUUCCGCCUGGGGAGUACGGCCGCAAGGUUAAAACUCAAAGGAAUUGAC